rnacentral:rRNA from 1 species
CCCUUAGAUGUUCUGGGCCGCACGCGCGCUACACUGAUGCAUUCAACGAGCCUAUCCUUGACCGACAGGUCCGGGUAAUCUUUGAAUCUGCAUCGUGACGGGGAUAGAUUAUUGCAAUUAUUAAUCUUCAACGAGGAAUGCCUAGUAGGCGCAAGUCAUCAGCUUGCGUCGAUUACGUCCCUGCCCUUUGUACACACCGCCCGUCGCUCCUACCGAUUGGGUGUGCUGGUGAAAUGUUCGGAUCGGCCGUUUGUCGCGGUUUCCGCGUCAUGUGGCUGAGAAGUUCAUUAAACUCUCCCACCGAGAGGAAGGAGAAGUCGUAACA